CUUAAUUUGCUAAUUUUACAUUUGAAGGUUCUCUAAAAUAGAGUAUGAUGUUUAAUGUAUUUAAUUUUCAGGAUACUGUUUUUCUGCAUCGCUACCGCCAUUACUAUCAGCGGCCGCCAUCAAAGCUUUGGACCAGAUUGAGAAACAUCCAGAAAUUUUAGAAAAACUGCGAGAAAGGAGCACAAGUCUACAUCAAAGUAUUUGCAAUAGCCAACUGACCGAACACUUUACUCUUGGGUCUGAUGAAUCAAGUCCACUUAAACAUUUAUACCUAAUAGAUAAGUCUCUAUUACACUCUGAACAACAGCAAAUAUUGAAAAAAAUUGUUGAUUACUGUAUAUCAAAAGGAGUAGCGAUAACGACAGCUGCGUAUUUGAGUGAUCGUGAAUACAAGAUUCCCACUCCCAGCAUUAGACUUCUCGCAAGUAUUAAACUAACAAAUGAAGAAAUCAACUCCCUUAUAGAAAUACUGUUGCAAGCGGUUAGUGUUUCGAUCAUUUAAAUCGUAUAACAAAACGGUGCGGUUUGUUUCUUGUCGGUCAACAUACAUAGCUGCUAGUUGCUACCUACUUGAAUAUCGUGAAAUUUUACCUGUUACGUUGUAAAUUAUGCUCAUGUAAUGAUAAUAUAAUAAUUAUUUUAAUUACA